CUUGGUGACAAUAGAGAGAAGGAGCACCUGUACACAUUCCGAACACAGAAGUUAAGCUUCUCAUCGCAGAAAAUACUUGGCUGGCGACGGCCCGGAAAGAUAUGACAUUGCCAAGA
rnacentral:rRNA from 1 species